UACGGAGGGUGCGAGCGUUGUCCGGAAUCACUGGGCGUAAAGGGCGCGUAGGUGGUAACCUAAGCGUGUGGUGAAAGCCCGGGGCUCAACCUCGGGUCGGCCAUGCGAACUGGGUCACUGGAGCACUGUAGAGGCAGGUGGAAUUCCGGGUGUAGCGGUGGAAUGCGUAGAGAUCCGGAAGAACACCGGUGGCGAAGGCGGCAUCCUGGACCGGCAUUGACGCUGAGGAGCGAAAGCCAGGGGAGCAAACGGG
rnacentral:rRNA from 1 species